rnacentral:snoRNA from 1 species
UUAGAUGAUGACAGAACGACAAACAUUCCAGAGUCCAUCCGUGCGGAAUUUGUUCGUAUUUUUAAGUUUCAGCCUUGUCUGAUU